UCUAUCACCAACUGCUACAUCAUGUAGAAAAUCAACAUCGCUAAAUUGAAAACAUGGGUGAUCACUAUCAAGGAUUCCGAAGGUUUCAUUAGUAUUUCUGGGUUGGCUACUACUUUGAACUUGUUUAUCUUUUCUAGGUCUGGGAGCCGGGGGAGGGGUAGUAUUUUGGCGACUACUUUCACCGGUUUUAGAUUUUCCUUUU
rnacentral:lncRNA from 1 species